rnacentral:rRNA from 1 species
UACGUAGGGGGCUAGCGUUGUCCGGAAUCAUUGGGCGUAAAGAGCGUGUAGGCGGCCCGGUAAGUCCGCUGUGAAAGUCGGGGGCUCAACCCUCGAAUGCCGGUGGAUACUGUCGGGCUAGAGUGCGGAAGAGGCGAGUGGAAUUCCUGGUGUAGCGGUGAAAUGCGCAGAUAUCAGGAGGAACACCAGUGGCGAAGGCGGCACUCUGGGCCGGUACUGACGCUGAGGAGCGAAAGCGUGGGGAGCGAACAGG